rnacentral:misc_RNA from 1 species
AACUGAUACUACCUGCGGGAACCUGCGGAAGGAUCAUUAUUGAGUUUUGAAGUGGGCUUGAUGCUGGCGAUUGCAUGUGCUCAGCCCCGCUCUCAAAUCCUUUCAACACCUGUGCACUUUCAAAGUUGUAGUCCUCCUUCAUUGGAGCCGUGGGUUGUAAUGACCUGCUGGGACUUGCACUUUGCCAAUUUAUCACAAACUAUUUACAAUGUCUUGUAGAAUGUGUUAGCCUUUGAUUAG